GCUAUCGAGAUUCGACUAAGCCAUGCGAGUUGAAUGUUCUUCGUGAACAUGGCGGACUGCUCAGUAACACGUGGACAACCUACCCUUGGGUCCGGCAUAAUCCUGGGAAACUGGGAAUAAUUCCGGAUAGGUCACCGAUGCUGGAAUGCGCGGUGGCCGAAAGCUCCGGCGCCCGAGGAUGGGUCUGCGGCCUAUCAGGGUUGUAGUGGGUGUAACGUACCUACUAGCCUACGACGGGUACGGGUUGUGAGAGCAAGAGCCCGGAGAUGGAUUCUGAGACACGAAUCCAGGCCCUACGGGGUGCAGCAGGCGCGAAAACUUUACAAUGCGGGAAACCGUGAUAAGGGGAUCUCGAGUGCCAGCAUAUAAUGUUGGCUGUCCAGAUGCCUAAAAAGCAUCUGUUAGCAAGGGCCGGGCAAGACCGGUGCCAGCCGCCGCGGUAACACCGGCGGCCCGAGUGGUAACCGCUAUUAUUGGGUCUAAAGGGUCUGUAGCCGGCCAGGUAAGUCCCUUGGGAAAUCUGGCAGCUCAACUGUCAGGCUGCUAGGGGAUACUGUUUGGCUUGGGACCGGGAGAGGUGAGAGGUACCUUGGGGGUAGGGGUGAAAUCUUGUGAUCCUCGAGGGACCACCAGUGGCGAAGGCGUCUCACCAGAACGGGUCCGACGGUAAGGGACGAAAGCUAGGGGCACGAACCGGAUUAGAUACCCGGGUAGUCCUAGCCGUAAACGAUGCUCGCUAGGUGUCAGUCACGGUGCGACCGUGAUUGGUGCCGUAGGGAACCCGUGAAACGCGCCGCCUGAGAAGUACGGCCGCAAGCUGAACUUAAAAGGAAUUGGCGGGGGAG
rnacentral:rRNA from 1 species